CGAUGUCACCAUUACUACCUCUAUCGACCAGGAGACGCCCACCAACGAGCUGAGCUCGCAGAGCGGCCCAGAGGGCGAGGGUGGCACCACCCAGGGCCCUGCAGGACAGCCUGCCCUUGAGGCCUUCCCGCCCGCCGACGGAUUCAGUGGCAGCUUCGAAUGGGAUGACGACUUCCCAUUGAUGGCCCAGAACCCAUCCUUUGUCUCCAUGGUGACGGACCCCAGCUCGGGGGCCCCCCCAACGCCGCCCCCCGCACUACUCCCAGCCAAGGGGGCAGAGCCCAGCCUGAUGGACGCCCUGCGCUUCUCCCGCUUCACCGUCUCCCCCGCCCUCGAGCCCCACCUGGCCCCCCGCGAGGCCGAGCUGGCGCCCACAGCCAACCCCAUUGAGAACUGAGGCGGGGACCUGCCCCCAGCAAUCAGGGACUCCUCGGGAUGGUGCUGGGCCAUCGCUCCCCCGCGCCCUCACCCCCUAGCCUGGCUGGGAGACGCAUGCGCCAGGCAUGUUCUGGGGGACACAGAGACUUGGGGGGGGGGGGGGGCAAGGCCAGCAUUUUGGGAUCCCCCUCCCCCCACAAGGACUUGCUUCUCUGGACAAUUUUUUUACAGUGACUCAGCCGCUGGGGGGCAGCCAGGCUGCUGAAUGUACCUGCCCCCAGUGCCCCUCGCUGCCCCUUUCCCCGCACAUGGGAGUUUGCUGUCAAAACUGUCUUAUGCCAAAUCCAACCUUGAGGGGCAGCGAGCUACAUAUCGGGGUGGGGGGGCUCACACUGCCCUCCCCCAGGAUUGGUCCCCCUACCAGUUUAACUCUGUGUCUCAAGUAAAGGGGGGAAAUGCCCCACAACUCGUCAGCAAUGGGGGGCUCCCCCCAACCAGCCCCGUCCCCCCCCAUUGUGGAAUGUAAGCCUGCUGCCCACUUCCCCCUCUUGGCACCAGAUGCCGCCUGAUGGAUGGACAGAUGGACAAGGGGGGGCAUUGUUAUACAGACACCUUUGUGCCCCCCCCGCCCCAGGAUGUGCACUGAGGAUGGAGCCCCCACCCCUUGCAGCUGGAGAUCAGCUGGGGCCCUGGGAUUCAGCGGGGAGGGGGAAUGAGGGGAGGGGUUGGCCAAGAGGCCUGAGGCUCGCUGGUUGGUACUGGGGGCCGAGUGGAGACCCUGGGCUGGCGCAGGUGGCUGCUGGGUUAUUACCGGUAUUUGGGGAGGGGGGGGGGGCGCGCACCACUGGUUUCUACUGGGAGCCUGAUGGAGUCAGUGGGGGUUACAGAGCCUGUUGCAGGGGAGGGUCGCUGGGUGUAUUUUCUAGUCCUGGGGGCCUACCCCCUGCCUUUGGCCCAUGGGGGUGCAUGGGGUUAGGCUUAGGGAAGGGGGCCUGGGGUCUUUCCGCUCUAGGGGCCACCAGCUCCCAUCUGCCCCAGGUUGAGGGACUGGCUGGCUCAGGGGGGCAGGGAAUGGGACAUGGGGCCUUUCCCUACUAGGGGGCACCAGCUACCCAGUAUCCUGCCCCUUUUCUCCUGGAUCAGACCCAUGGGUCCCUCUACCCUGGUGUCCGGCCCCCUCACCCAGUCCUAUCUAGCCUGUGUCAGAAGUGGGCCUGGAUUUCACUGGCACCCUCCCAGCUCAGUUUGUCAUUAAGGGGGGAUCUACCUGCCUCCCAAGAACCAACACACCAGGCAGCUGCCAAACAAGGCCAGGUCUGUAAAUACGUGGGCACGAGGAGACGCCUGGUGUCUCGCCUGGUGCCGCCUUUGGCCUGCUCCUGAUUUGCCAAAAUGAACAAAGAUUAAAAAAGAGUGACUAUUAACCCCCAAGUGUCUGCUGCCCGCGAGGCGUCGGGGAGGCUGGACACAUGGAUGGCAGUGGGGUUUGGGGGAGCGAGGUGUGGUGGGGGAGAAGGAUGUGGGCUGAUAGAUGGAGGGGUGAAGUGCUGCACUGUAUGGGAUAGCGGGAUGGAGUGGGUACGUAGGGGGAGGUUUGGGGUACAUUGGGGGAUGGCUGGAGGGAUGCAUGUGGAGGAAGAUGGCUGGACAAACAGAGCAGGUAAAAGGAAUGAGCUGGGCCCCCCAUGUGGGGCAGUUCUGCUCCCAGCCAGCGGGGGGGGAGUGCAGGGCUGCCCCCCCCCCAGUUCAGUGAGGCCUCAGAGAGGGAUUUAAAUUAAACUUUAUUAAUAAUGGGGUCAGAGGCUGCAUUGUCCAAGCUACAGAAGGGCUUUUCCCAGUGCCCUCUGCACCCACCCACAGCGUGGGCCUGUCCCCUCCAGCAGGGGGCACCAGGGGGACACACAGCGCAGGGCCCAGCCC